UGGGGAAUAUUGCACAAUGGGCGCAAGCCUGAUGCAGCCAUGCCGCGUGUGUGAAGAAGGCCUUCGGGUUGUAAAGCACUUUCAGCGGGGAGGAAGGCGGUGAGGUUAAUAACCUCAUCGAUUGACGUUACCCGCAGAAGAAGCACCGGCUAACUCCGUGCCAGCAGCCGCGGUAAUACGGAGGGUGCAAGCGUUAAUCGGAAUUACUGGGCGUAAAGCGCACGCAGGCGGUCUGUCAAGUCGGAUGUGAAAUCCCCGGGCUCAACCUGGGGACUGCAUUCGAAACUGGCAGGCUAGAGGCUUGUAGAGGGGGGUAGAAUUCCAGGUGUAGCGGUGGAAUGCGUAGAGAUCUGGGGGAAUACCGGUGGCGAAGGCGGCCCCCUGGACAAAGACUGACGCUCAGGUGCGAAAGCGUGGGGAGCAAACAGG
rnacentral:rRNA from 1 species